rnacentral:rRNA from 1 species
AACGAACGCUGGCGGCAUGCCUAACACAUGCAAGUCGAACGAGACCUUCGGGUCUAGUGGCGCACGGGUGCGUAACGCGUGGGAACCUGCCCUUAGGUUCGGAAUAACUCCCCGAAAGGGGUGCUAAUACCGGAUAAUGUCUUCGGACCAAAGAUUUAUCGCCUUUGGAUGGGCCGCGGUGGAUUAGCUAGUUGGUAGGGUAAAAGCCUACCAAGGCGACGAUCCAUAGCUGGUCUGAGAGGAUGAUCAGCCACACUGGGACUGAGACACGGCCCAGACUCCUACGGGAGGCAGCAGUGGGGAAUAUUGGACAAUGGGCGAAAGCCUGAUCCAGCAAUGCCGCGUGAGUGAUGAAGGCCUUAGGGUUGUAAAGCUCUUUUACCCGGGAUGAUAAUGACAGUACCGGGAGAAUAAGCUCCGGCUAACUCCGUG